CCAAUAGCGUAUAUUAAAGUUGUUGCAGUUAAAAAGCUCGUAGUUGAAUUUCGGGAUCAGUACGCUGGUCAUGCCUUUGGUAUGCACUGGUGUCACUGGUUUCUCCCUUCUGACGAUCCGUGAUGUCAUUAAUUUGGUGUCGCGGGGAAUCAGGACUGUUACUUCGAAAAAAUUAGAGUGUUUAAAGCAGGCUCACGCUUGAAUACAUUAGCAUGGAAUAAUGAAAUAGGACGUUUGACCCUAUUUUGUUGGUUUCUAGGAUCGACGUAAUGAUUAAUAGGGAUAGUUGGGGGCAUUAGUAUUCAAUUGUCAGAGGUGAAAUUCUUGGAUUUAUUGAAGACUAACUACUGCGAAAGCAUUUGCCAAGGAUGUUUUCAUUAAUCAAGAACGAAAGUUAGGGGAUCGAAGACGAUCAGAUACCGUCGUAGUCUUAACCAUAAACUAUGCCGACUAGGGAUCGGAUGAUGUUAAUUUUAUAAUGACUCAUUCGGCGCCUUACG
rnacentral:rRNA from 1 species